rnacentral:rRNA from 1 species
UUGCCUUAGUAACGGCGAGUGAAGCGGCAAAAGCUCAAAUUUGAAAUCUGGCACUUGUGUCCGAGUUGUAAUUUGAAGAAGGUAACUUUGGGGCUGGUCCUUGCAUAUGUUCCUUGGAACAGGACGUCAUAGAGGGUGAGAAUCCCGUUCUGUGAGGUGGCCAGUCUCUUGUAAAGUGCUUUCGAAGAGUCGAGUUGUUUGGGAAUGCAGCUCUAAGUGGGUGGUAAAUUCCAUCUAAAGCUAAAUAUUGGCGAGAGACCGAUAGCGAACAAGUACAGUGAUGGAAAGAUGAAAAGAACUUUGAAAAGAGAGUGAAAAAGUACGUGAAAUUGUUGAAAGGGAAGGGCUUGAAAUCAGACUUGGUAUUCAGUGAUCAACUAUCUCUCGGGAUUGUGCACUCGCUGUUUACUGGGCCAGUAUCGGUUUUGACGGUGAGAUAAUGGCAUUGGAAUGUGGCUCUUCGGAGUGUUAUAGCCUUUGUUGAUAUCACCAGUCGGGACCGAGGACCGCGCUUUU